UGCUCGAUGGUGACUUCCACAUAUGCAUUCCUUGGUAAACGGAAAAAAAAUGAGUGAAAACUAUACCGUCAUCCUCACUGAACUGAGGUCC